CUUCUGCAAUGAGCGGGAUAGGUUUGAAAAUGCCUCUUGGACUUUCUUCCAUUGUCUUGAUGAAUAGUGCUUAGCUCCCUUUUACCCAUAUUAAUCUCUUGAACAAAGAGUUGCUUGGACACAGACUUUAUAUUCUUUCCCAAACACAGCUUUUCUUUCUUUCUUUUUUUGUUUUUUAUAUGACCAGGCUUCAAAUUUCUGAAAUCCUUUUAUGCUAUUUCCAUUUUAAUUUGUUUUCUCACUGUGGUCACUAGCCUCUCCCAGGAAGAUCAGCGGUCCCACAGUGACAUCCGUUUCUUCUGUUACGUGCCUGUGGUUCCAGUUCUGUGAAGUGGACCUGAGUCCCUCGCUCACCACAGGGAGCUGCCUCCUGGAAUGGCCUGAACCACCAUAGUCUCCCCUGUUACAGCACUUACAGAUGUCGGCAGUGCCUUCUACUGGGGACCAGCUAUUGAAAGACUUGUUAAGGAGCGGGCUUUGUUUUGUGGGUGCGGGACUUGGAGAGAUGGCGUAACCUUCAGAUGUCACGUGACGUACAACCUGUUUCUGGAGUUGUCAGCAAAGGAGAACACAUGCACCAGGAACCAGAGUGUUUCCAGCCUGGGGCUGGGGGCUUGGAAUGCAGAAGAGCCGUCAGACAGCCCAUCCACGAGGCAGCAGCCUGAAUGUUUGUUGCUUAGGUAUUUUUUCUUUAAAGGGAGUAUGUGGGACUUACAUAACUGAGUCAGCUGGAGAAAUACUAAGUAGAUGAAGAAUGAUCAUAUUAUCUGUGAUCUAAUUUUGCAGAACAUUCCCAUCCAAUUUAAAAUAAAGAGCAACAUCUAUUGGAAAUAAGAUGUGUAUGUAAGAAAUUUAUGUUAUCAUUUUAACUGAAAAUGAUAUGUGAUUGAGCAUUUGCUUUGGGCCAAG
rnacentral:lncRNA from 1 species